UACGAAGGGGGCUAGCGUUGCUCGGAAUUACUGGGCGUAAAGAGCUCGUAGGUGGUUUGUCGCGUCGGCUGUGAAAUCCCGAGGCUCAACCUCGGGUCUGCAGUCGAUACGGGCAAACUGGAGUGUUGCAGGGGAGACUGGAAUUCCUGGUGUAGCGGUGAAAUGCGCAGAUAUCAGGAGGAACACCGGUGGCGAAGGCGGGUCUCUGGGCCGAUACUGACGCUGAGGAGCGAAAGCGUGGGGAGCGAACAGG
rnacentral:rRNA from 1 species